rnacentral:rRNA from 1 species
UACGUAGGUGGCAAGCGUUGUCCGGAUUCACUGGGCGUAAAGGGUGCGCAGGCGGCCGUGUGUGUCAGGUGUGAAAGCCCGAGCUUAACCUCGGAAUUGCGCCUGAAACUACAUGGCUAGAGUACUGGAGAGGGUAGCGGAAUUCAUGGUGUAGCAGUGAAAUGCGUAGAUAUCAUGAGGAACACCAGAGGCGAAGGCGGCUACCUGGACAGUUACUGACGCUCAGGCACGAAAGCCGUGGGGAGCAAAAGGG